rnacentral:lncRNA from 1 species
UAAAAAUGGGGUAUCAUGUUUUUAGGAAUAUGUGAAAUUUGAGUUACUUUUUAUUUGAAAAAGUUAUGGUUUUUUUACUUCAAUUUCAUGAUAUAUAUAUUUUUUUAAUUUUCACUUGCAUUGUUGUAACUAUCAGAAAAAGAGAUAAAGUAUUUGUCAUCAAAAUAUUAAAAUGAGUGUUGUCCCCUUUCUACACUUUAGUUUUAUUUUUUUAUUUUUCUUAUAUAUUAUUU